UGGGGAAUAUUGGGCAAUGGGCGAAAGCCUGACCCAGCAACGCCGCGUGAAGGAAGAAGGCCUUCGGGUUGUAAACUUCUUUUUUAUGGAAAGAUAAUGACGGUACCAUAAGAAUAAGCCACGGCUAACUACGUGCCAGCAGCCGCGGUAAUACGUAGGUGGCAAGCGUUAUCCGGAAUUACUGGGUGUAAAGGGCGCGUAGGCGGGAAGCCAAGUCUGAUGUGAAAUACCCCGGCUUAACUGGGGGGCUGCAUUGGAAACUGGUUUUCUUGAGUGACGGAGAGGUAAGCGGAAUUCCCAGUGUAGCGGUGGAAUGCGUAGAUAUUGGGAGGAACACCAGUGGCGAAGGCGGCUUACUGGACGUCAACUGACGCUGAGGCGCGAAAGCGUGGGGAGCAAACA
rnacentral:rRNA from 1 species